UUGGAGGGCAAGUCUGGUGCCAGCAGCCGCGGUAAUUCCAGCUCCAAUAGCGUAUAUUAAAGUUGUUGCAGUUAAAAAGCUCGUAGUUGAAUUUCGGGGUUAGUAGGUUGGUCAUGCCUCCGGUAUGUACUGGUCUCACUGAUUCCUCCUUCCUGAUGAACCGUAAUGCCAUUAAUUUGGUGUUGCGGGGAAUUUGGACUGUUACUUUGAAAAAAUUAGAGUGUUUAAAGCAAGCUAACGCUUGAAUACAUUAGCAUGGAAUAAUGAAAUAGGACGUUCGAUCCUAUUUUGUUGGUUUCUAGGAUUGACGUAAUGAUUAAUAGGGAUAGUUGGGGGCAUUAGUAUUCAAUUGUCAGAGGUGAAAUUCUUGGAUUUAUUGAAGACUAACUACUGCGAAAGCAUUUGCCAAGGAUGUUUUCAUUAAUCAAGAACGAAAGUUAGGGGAUCGAAGACGAUCAGAUACCGUCGUAGUCUUAACCAUAAACUAUGCCGACUAGGGAUCGGAUGAUGUUAAUUUUUUAAUGACUCAUUCGGCGCCUUACGGGAAAC
rnacentral:rRNA from 1 species